rnacentral:rRNA from 2 species
AACGCUGGCGGCAGGCCUAACACAUGCAAGUCGAGCGGUAGCACAGAGAGCUUGCUCUCGGGUGACGAGCGGCGGACGGGUGAGUAAUGUCUGGGAAACUGCCUGAUGGAGGGGGAUAACUACUGGAAACGGUAGCUAAUACCGCAUAAUGUCGCAAGACCAAAGUGGGGGACCUUCGGGCCUCAUGCCAUCAGAUGUGCCCAGAUGGGAUUAGCUAGUAGGUGGGGUAACGGCUCACCUAGGCGACGAUCCCUAGCUGGUCUGAGAGGAUGACCAGCCACACUGGAACUGAGACACGGUCCAGACUCCUACGGGAGGCAGCAGUGGGGAAUAUUGCACAAUGGGCGCAAGCCUGAUGCAGCCAUGCCGCGUGUGUGAAGAAGGCCUUCGGGUUGUAAAGCACUUUCAGCGGGGAGGAAGGCGGUAAGGUUAAUAACCUCAUCGAUUGACGUUACCCGCAGAAGAAGCACCGGCUAACUCCGUGCCAGCAGCCGCGGUAAUACGGAGGGUGCAAGCGUUAAUCGGAAUUACUGGGCGUAAAGCGCACGCAGGCGGUCUGUCAAGUCGGAUGUGAAAUCCCCGGGCUCAACCUGGGAACUGCAUUCGAAACUGGCAGGCUAGAGUCUUGUAGAGGGGGGUAGAAUUCCAGGUGUAGCGGUGAAAUGCGUAGAGAUCUGGAGGAAUACCGGUGGCGAAGGCGGCCCCCUGGACAAAGACUGACGCUCAGGUGCGAAAGCGUGGGGAGCAAACAGGAUUAGAUACCCUGGUAGUCCACGCCGUAAACGAUGUCGAUUUGGAGGUUGUGCCCUUGAGGCGUGGCUUCCGGAGCUAACGCGUUAAAUCGACCGCCUGGGGAGUACGGCCGCAAGGUUAAAACUCAAAUGAAUUGACGGGGGCCCGCACAAGCGGUGGAGCAUGUGGUUUAAUUCGAUGCAACGCGAAGAACCUUACCUGGUCUUGACAUCCACAGAACUUUCCAGAGAUGGAUUGGUGCCUUCGGGAACUGUGAGACAGGUGCUGCAUGGCUGUCGUCAGCUCGUGUUGUGAAAUGUUGGGUUAAGUCCCGCAACGAGCGCAACCCUUAUCCUUUGUUGCCAGCGGUCCGGCCGGGAACUCAAAGGAGACUGCCAGUGAUAAACUGGAGGAAGGUGGGGAUGACGUCAAGUCAUCAUGGCCCUUACGACCAGGGCUACACACGUGCUACAAUGGCAUAUACAAAGAGAAGCGACCUCGCGAGAGCAAGCGGACCUCAUAAAGUAUGUCGUAGUCCGGAUUGGAGUCUGCAACUCGACUCCAUGAAGUCGGAAUCGCUAGUAAUCGUAGAUCAGAAUGCUACGGUGAAUACGUUCCCGGGCCUUGUACACACCGCCCGUCACACCAUGGGAGUGGGUUGCAAAAGAAGUAGGUAGCUUAACCUUCGGGAGGGCGCUUACCACUUUGUGAUUCAUGACUGGGGUGAAGUCGUAACAAGGUAACCGUAGGGGAACCUGCGGCUGG